AAUAAAGUGGCUGAGGGAAAUAAGCGGUAGAUUGUAAAUCUAUAAACGAGAUUAAACUCCUUUAUUA
rnacentral:tRNA from 1 species